GUCAGUGUGGCAUUGUGGUUUGUGUUCUGGACUAUGAUUCUGGGAGACCAGGGUUCAAAUCCCCUCUUGGCCA